GGUGGCUCAGGGGCAGAGUGCUUGCCUUACAUGCAUGAGGGCCUGGGUUCGAUUCCUCAGCACCA
rnacentral:tRNA from 1 species